GCCUCGGUAGUCUAGAGGCUUAGGACGCUCGCACGGAAUGCAAGAGAAUCGGGUUCAAAUCCCGGCCGAGGUA
rnacentral:tRNA from 1 species